rnacentral:rRNA from 1 species
GCGGAUGAGGGAGCUUGCUCCUGGAUUCAGCGGCGGACGGGUGAGUAAUGCCUAGGAAUCUGCCUGGUAGUGGGGGAUAACGUCCGGAAACGGGCGCUAAUACCGCAUACGUCCUGAGGGAGAAAGUGGGGGAUCUUCGGACCUCACGCUAUCAGAUGAGCCUAGGUCGGAUUAGCUAGUUGGUGGGGUAAAGGCCUACCAAGGCGACGAUCCGUAACUGGUCUGAGAGGAUGAUCAGUCACACUGGAACUGAGACACGGUCCAGACUCCUACGGGAGGCAGCAGUGGGGAAUAUUGGACAAUGGGCGAAAGCCUGAUCCAGCCAUGCCGCGUGUGUGAAGAAGGUCUUCGGAUUGUAAAGCACUUUAAGUUGGGAGGAAGGGCAGUAAGUUAAUACCUUGCUGUUUUGACGUUACCAACAGAAUAAGCACCGGCUAACUUCGUGCCAGCAGCCGCGGUAAUACGAAGGGUGCAAGCGUUAAUCGGAAUUACUGGGCGUAAAGCGCGCGUAGGUGGUUCAGCAAGUUGGAUGUGAAAUCCCCGGGCUCAACCUGGGAACUGCAUCCAAAACUACUGAGC